rnacentral:rRNA from 1 species
GACGAACGCUGGCGGCGUGCCUAAUACAUGCAAGUAGAACGCUGAAGGAGGAGCUUGCUCUUCUGGAUGAGUUGCGAACGGGUGAGUAACGCGUAGGUAACCUGCCUGGUAGCGGGGGAUAACUAUUGGAAACGAUAGCUAAUACCGCAUAAGAGUAGAUGUUGCAUGACAUUUACUUAAAAGGUGCAAUUGCAUCACUACCAGAUGGACCUGCGUUGUAUUAGCUAGUUGGUGGGGUAACGGCUUACCAAGGCGACGAUACAUAGCCGACCUGAGAGGGUGAUCGGCCACACUGGGACUGAGACACGGCCCAGACUCCUACGGGAGGCAGCAGUAGGGAAUCUUCGGCAAUGGACGGAAGUCUGACCGAGCAACGCCGCGUGAGUGAAGAAGGGUUUCGGAUCGUAAAGCUCUGUUGUAAGAGAAGAACGAGUGUGAGAGUGGAAAGUUCACACUGUGACGGUAUCUUACCGGAAAGGGACGGCUAACUACGUG